AUGCAAGUCGAACGGUAGCAGGAUGUGCUUGCACAUCGCUGACGAGUGGCGGACGGGUGAGUAAUGCUUGGGAACUUGCCUUUGCGAGGGGGAUAACAGUUGGAAACGACUGCUAAUACCGCAUAAUGUCUUCGGACCAAACGGGGCUUAGGCUCCGGCGCAAAGAGAGGCCCAAGUGAGAUUAGCUAGUUGGUGGGGUAAAGGCUCACCAAGGCAACGAUCUCUAGCUGUUCUGAGAGGAAGAUCAGCCACACUGGGACUGAGACACGGCCCAGACUCCUACGGGAGGCAGCAGUGGGGAAUAUUGCACAAUGGGGGAAACCCUGAUGCAGCCAUGCCGCGUGUGUGAAGAAGGCCUUCGGGUUGUAAAGCACUUUCAGUUGUGAGGAAAGGUUGGUAGUUAAUACCUGCCAGCUGUGACGUUAACAACAGAAGAAGCACCGGCUAACUCCGUGCCAGCAGCCGCGGUAAUACGGAGGGUGCGAGCGUUAAUCGGAAUUACUGGGCGUAAAGCGCACGCAGGCGGUUUGUUAAGCUAGAUGUGAAAGCCCCGGGCUCAACCUGGGAUGGUCAUUUAGAACUGGCAGACUAGAGUCUUGGAGAGGGGAGUGGAAUUCCAGGUGUAGCGGUGAAAUGCGUAGAUAUCUGGAGGAACAUCAGUGGCGAAGGCGACUCCCUGGCCAAAGACUGACGCUCAUGUGCGAAAGUGUGGGUAGCGAACAGGAUUAGAUACCCUGGUAGUCCACACCGUAAACGCUGUCUACUAGCUGUGUGUGCCUUUAAAGCGUGCGUAGCGAAGCUAACGCGCUAAGUAGACCGCCUGGGGAGUACGGCGCAAGGUUAAAACUCAAAUGAAUUGACGGGGCCCGCACAAGCGUGGAGCAUGUGGUUAAUUCGAUGCAACGCGAAGAACUUACCUACACUUGACAUGCAGAGAACUUCAGAGAUGAUGUGCUCCGGUACUCUGACACAGUGCUGCAUGCUGUCGUCAGCUCAGUCCUUGGAUGUAGUUAAGUCCGCAACGAGCCAACAUUCCUUAGUGCAGCAUAGUGACUUAGGAACUUGCGGUAACGAAUGUGACAGCUAGUC
rnacentral:rRNA from 1 species